UGACGCGCGGCACAUCCCCACUGCUUUCGCGUUCCUGCACGCCUAUUUGCCUAUUUCAAGUUGGUGGUUGUACAGGUUGUUCGCUGUGUGUUGUAGUGCCCAUGAUUUUGGUAAAAUGAUGUAUAAAAUUCAGUUAAACAACAAAAGUAAAUACGCCAAAAUUGAUGAAACAUCAGAUAAUGUGACAUACUCUGAAAUAGUCGAGUUAGGAGAUAUUUUAUAAUGGCAGCUUAAGAACCUCAAGUGGCUACCUGGUAUGGAGGCUCCGAACCGUUGCAAGAUCCAAUAUGGUGCCAAGCUCCAAACGAAAGUUACCACCACAAGUUACAUAGAAUAGUGAUGACUUAUCAGAUGAACCAACCUUAAAAAAGCCAGAACAUUGACAGAACAAGGAGUAGCACACAUAGAAUUUUUAAAAAAUGCUUGCUGCAAGACACAGAAAAAGGAAAUCAUGGAAACAAUGAAAAACCUUUUUAACUGUAGAAAAAUGAAUUACUUUUCAUUUGUCGAUUAUCCCAGAUUUUUGGACACGCCAGGACUUAUUGAACAAGAUGUCAGCUUGCUAUAUCCUGCUAAUGCUAAUAACUUUGUGGCGAAGUUUGAAAAUAAGGCUGCAAAUAUGAUAGAAAUAUACGAGGCGACAAUUUCCUACCUCAAAUAAGGUAUAUAUUAUAUUUUUUAUUUUGGCUAAAAAAAGUCCUUUAUGGGUAU